GAGGUAAAUAUCUUAGUCGAAAAUUUUUGAGAUAUUUUAAGGACAAUGGUAUAGUCUCUCAAUGAACUCCUCCUGAAAUACCUUAGCUUAAUGAGGUGUGAUAAGAAUAGGACCCUAUUGAUAUAGUCAGAUCUAGAUGAGCUUCACUGAUUUAUUUUUAUAUCUUUAGAAAUAUUUCUUAUUAACUGUAAUAUAUUUAUUA
rnacentral:lncRNA from 1 species